CGGACGUGAGUAACCUGCCUCUAAGAGGGGAAUAACAUUCUGAAAAGAAUGCUAAUACCGCAUAACAUAUAUUUAUCGCAUGGUAGAUAUAUCAAAGAUUUAUCGCUUAGAGAUGGACUCGCGUCCGAUUAGUUAGUUGGUGAGGUAACGGCUCACCAAGACCGCGAUCGGUAGCCGGACUGAGAGGUUGAACGGCCACAUUGGGACUGAGACACGGCCCAG
rnacentral:rRNA from 1 species